CAUGUCCUUUUGAUUAUAAUAUAAGGUUUACUCUGCCCACUGAUUUAUUUAAUGGCCGCGGUAUUUUAACUGUGCAAAGGUAGCAUGAUAAUUAGUUUUUUAAUUGAAAGCUGGGAUGAAGGAGUGGACAAGAGAAAUUCUGUCUCUUUAUUUAAUAUUGAAUUUUAUAUUUUAGUGAAAAAGCUUAAAUUUAUUCAAGGGACGAGAAGACCCUAUAGAGUUUUAUAUAAAGUAAGGUUUAACUUUUUAGGGGGUAUAUGAUUUUAAAAGUUUAUUUUGUAUUUGAUUGGGGCGAUUUGAGGAUUUAUAAAACUCCUUAUUUUUAUUACAUUGAUUUGUGGAUUGUUGAAUCGUUUUUUCGAUUGAAAGAUCAAAUUACCUUAGGGAUAACAGCGUGAUUUUUUAAUGAAGUUCUUAUUUUAAUAAAAGAUUGCGACCUCGAUGUUGGAUUAAAAUUAACUUAAGGUGUAGGUGCUUUAGGGUUAAGUCUGUUCGACUUUUAAAAUUUUACAUGAUCUGAGU
rnacentral:rRNA from 1 species